rnacentral:rRNA from 1 species
AGAAUCAACGCUGGCGGCGUGCCUAACACAUGCAAGUCGAGCGCGAAAGGGGGGGCAACCCCCCAAGUAGAGCGGCGAACGGGUGAGUAACGCGUGGGUCAUCUACCUUCGAGUGGGGAACAACAGCGGGAAACUGCUGCUAAUACCGCAUGACAUCGUCGGGCUUCAGGCCUGACGAUCAAAGCCGGGGACCGCAAGGCCUGGCGCUUGAAGAGGAGCCCGCGUCCGAUUAGCUAGUUGGCGGGGUAACGCCCACCAAGGCGACGAUCGGUA